AGUCGAACGGCAGCAUGAUCUAGCUUGCUAGAUUGAUGGCGUGUGGCGAACGGGUGAGUAAUACAUCGGAACGUGCCCUGUAGUGGGGGAUAACUAGUCGAAAGAUUAGCUAAUACCGCAUACGACCUGAGGGUGAAAGUGGGGGACCGCAAGGCCUCAUGCUAUAGGAGCGGCCGAUGUCUGAUUAGCUAGUUGGUGAGGUAAAGGCUCACCAAGGCGACGAUCAGUAGCUGGUCUGAGAGGACGAUCAGCCACACUGGGACUGAGACACGGCCCAGACUCCUACGGGAGGCAGCAGUGGGGAAUUUUGGACAAUGGGGGCAACCCUGAUCCAGCAAUGCCGCGUGUGUGAAGAAGGCCUUCGGGUUGUAAAGCACUUUUGUCCGGAAAGAAAUCGCACUUACUAAUAUUAGGUGUGGAUGACGGUACCGGAAGAAUAAGGACCGGCUAACUACGUGCCAGCAGCCGCGGUAAUACGUAGGGUCCAAGCGUUAAUCGGAAUUACUGGGCGUAAAGCGUGCGCAGGCGGUUGUGCAAGACCGAUGUGAAAUCCCCGGGCUUAACCUGGGAAUUGCAUUGGUGACUGCACGGCUAGAGUGUGUCAGAGGGGGGUAGAAUUCCACGUGUAGCAGUGAAAUGCGUAGAGAUGUGGAGGAAUACCGAUGGCGAAGCAGCCCCCUGGGAUAACACUGACGCUCAUGCACGAAAGCGUGGGGAGCAAACAGGAUUAGAUACCNUGGUAGUCCACGCCCUAAACGAUGUCAACUAGUUGUUGGGGAUUCAUUUCCUUAGUAACGUAGCUAACGCGUGAAGUUGACCGCCUGGGGAGUACGGUCGCAAGAUUAAAACUCAAAGGAAUUGACGGGGACCCGCACAAGCGGUGGAUGAUGUGGAUUAAUUCGAUGCAACGCGAAAAACCUUACCUACCCUUGACAUGCCACUAACGAAGCAGAGAUGCAUUAGGUGCUCGAAAGAGAAAGUGGACACAGGUGCUGCAUGGCUGUCGUCAGCUCGUGUCGUGAGAUGUUGGGUUAAGUCCCGCAACGAGCGCAACCCUUGUCUCUAGUUGCUACGAAAGGGCACUCUAGAGAGACUGCCGGUGACAAACCGGAGGAAGGUGGGGAUGACGUCAAGUCCUCAUGGCCCUUAUGGGUAGGGCUUCACACGUCAUACAAUGGUGCAUACAGAGGGUUGCCAAGCCGCGAGGUGGAGCUAAUCCCAGAAAAUGCAUCGUAGUCCGGAUCGUAGUCUGCAACUCGACUACGUGAAGCUGGAAUCGCUAGUAAUCGCGGAUCAGCAUGCCGCGGUGAAUACGUUCCCGGGUCUUGUACACACCGCCCGUCACACCAUGGGAGUGGGUUUUGCCAGAAGUAGUUAGCCUAACCGCAAGGGGGGCGAUUACCACGGCAGGGUUCAUGACUGGGGUGAAGUCGUAACAAGGUAU
rnacentral:rRNA from 1 species